GACGAACGCUGGCGGCGUGCUUAACACAUGCAAGUCGAACGGAAAGGCCCUGCUUUUGUGGGGUGCUCGAGUGGCGAACGGGUGAGUAACACGUGAGUAACCUGCCCUUGACUUUGGGAUAACUUCAGGAAACUGGGGCUAAUACCGGAUAGGAGCUCCUGCUGCAUGGUGGGGGUUGGAAAGUUUCGGCGGUUGGGGAUGGACUCGCGGCUUAUCAGCUUGUUGGUGGGGUAGUGGCUUACCAAGGCUUUGACGGGUAGCCGGCCUGAGAGGGUGACCGGCCACAUUGGGACUGAGAUACGGCCCAGACUCCUACGGGAGGCAGCAGUGGGGAAUAUUGCACAAUGGGCGGAAGCCUGAUGCAGCAACGCCGCGUGCGGGAUGACGGCCUUCGGGUCGUAAACCGCUUUCGCCUGUGACGAAGCGUGAGUGACGGUAAUGGGUAAAGAAGCACCGGCUAACUACGU
rnacentral:rRNA from 1 species